rnacentral:misc_RNA from 1 species
GUACUCUCACACCCGUAGUCUUUUCGAUUGCGGGCGGUGGACUUGGGUGCUGCUGCUUACCCGCGGCUCACCUCAAAUGGAUUCGUGCACCUCUUGGUUGGACAUAGUACGGCGUGAUAAGUGUCUUCGCCGGCGCCUCGAAAGAGGGUGGCUGAUUGGGAGCUCUGUGCUUCAUAAACUGUCUUCGGACAAUGUCUGACA